rnacentral:rRNA from 1 species
AUUGAACGCUGGCGGAAUGCUUAACACAUGCAAGUCGAACGGUAACGAUGGUAGCUUGCUACCAGGCGACGAGUGGCGGACGGGUGAGUACAACUUAGGAAUCUGCCCAGUAGUGGGGGACAACUCGGGGAAACUCGAGCUAAUACCGCAUACGACCUUCGGGUGAAAGUGGGGGAUCUUCGGACCUCACGCUAUUGGAUGAGCCUAAGCCGGAUUAGCUUGUUGGUGGGGUAAUGGCCUACCAAGGCGACGAUCCGUAGCUGGUCUGAGAGGACGAUCAGCCACACUGGGACUGAGACACGGCCCAGACUCCUACGGGAGGCAGCAGUGGGGAAUAUUGGACAAUGGGGGCAACCCUGAUCCAGCAAUUCCGCGUGUGUGAAGAAGGCCUGCGGGUUGUAAAGCACUUUCAGUAGAGAAGAAAAGCGUUGGGUUAAUAACCCGGCGUCUUGACGUAACCUACAGAAGAAGCACCGGCUAACUCCGUGCCAGCGCCGCGGUAAU